rnacentral:snRNA from 1 species
GUGUUCGCUUCAGCAGCACAUAUACUAAAAUUGGAAUGAUACAGAGAAGAUUAGCAUGGCUUCUGUGCAAGGAUGACAUGGAAAUUCAUGAAGCAUUCCAUAUUUUU